rnacentral:pre_miRNA from 1 species
UGCCAAGGUUUUCCUCGGUAGUUAACUGCAGCCGGUUUUAGUUUUCCUCGAUAGUUAACUGUCGAGGGGUAA